AAAAUAAUCCUACCCUUUGUGAAUUUUGUUUGUUUGAAUAAUUUUUUUUUUUAAAAAAUUAUUGGAGUCUUUCCCUUUAGAGUUUGCUUUUGAGUUUGUAAAAGAAUUCGAAAACAUCUAAAGGGGAUGGUCAAUAAUUUUUUUGAAAAAAGACAUUUUUUAAAAUUAAACUUUUUGUAUUCAUUUGUCUAAAAAUUAUUUUUAUAAUAUAAAAACAACUUUUGACAAUGGAUCUCUUGGUUCUCGCAACGAUGAAGAACGCAGCAAAAUGCGAUAAGUAGUGUGAAUUGCAGAAUACGUGAAUCAUCGAAUCUUUGAACGCAUAUUGCACUUUUUUAGUUUACUAAAAAAGUAUGUCUGUUUGAGUAUCAGUAAAAUAUUCUCAUAAAAAUCAUUGUGUAUUUUUAUGGUUAUGAGUGUUUUACAACGAUACAAGUUAUUUCACUUUAAAUUUUUUUUAAUAUUGAAAUUUUUCUAAUUUUAAUAAUUAAAAUUGGAUAAAAUUUUCCCGUCAAAAGGAAUAACCUAAACAAUUUUAAAUGAUUAAUUUUAGCAAAAUUUUCGAAAAAAGGAAAAUUUUUAUUAAAAUAACUUGAUCUCAAAUCAGAUAAGAGUACCCGCUGAACUUAAGCAUAUCAAUAAGCGGAGGAAAAGAAACUAACAAGGAUUCCCUUAGUAACGGCGAGUGAAGCGGGAAGAGCUCAAAUUUGAAAUCUUCAAGGUUUUACCUUGACGAAUUGUAGUUUAAAGAAGUGUUUUCUGCUGAAGUUUUGGUAAAAGUUCUUUGGAAUAGGACAUCAUAGAGGGUGAGAAUCCCGUAUUUGACCAUUAUUUUCAGCUUUGUGAUACACUUUCAAAGAGUCGGAUUGUUUGGGAAUGCAGUCCAAAAUGGGUGGUAAAUUUCAUCUAAAGCUAAAUAUUGGCGAGAGACCGAUAGCGAACAAGUACCGUGAGGGAAAGAUGAAAAGACUUUGAAAAGAGAGUUAAACAGUACGUGAAAUUGUCAAAAGGGAAGCGUUUGACACCAGUGUUGUUUUCUCGAAAAUCAAUUAAAAAUGGCUCGAUUUUGUAUUGCUGAGACCUUAAAAGCUCACUGUACAUUUUUCGUGUCUUUUUUAAUGCACUUUUCGUUUAACAAGUCAACAUCAGUUUCUUUUGUUGUAAAAGGGUCAUUGGAGGUGGCUUUCUUUUCGGAGAAAGUGUUUAUAGCCUUUGGCCUCUGCAAUCGAAGAGACUGAGGUCUACAGCGUAGACUCUUCGGGGUUAGAUACAUUUGUGCUAAGUUAUAGCUUUUUAUAGACAACUUGUUGACUAUAAUUAGUCUUGUAGCUUACUCGCUUAUGCUAUUU
rnacentral:misc_RNA from 1 species